GAUGAACGCUGGCGGUAUGCUUAACACAUGCAAGUCGAACGGACUCUUCGGAGUUAGUUGCGGACGGGUGAGUAACGCGUGAGAAUCUGGCUUUGGGUUCGGGACAACACCUGAAAGGGUUGCCUAAAGCCGGUGGGCCGAAGGGGAAAAGGAGAAAGUGCCUGAAGAUGAGCUCGCGUCUGUUUAGCUAGUUGGUGAGGUAAAGGCUCACCAAGGAAGCGUUAAGUAGCUGGUCUGAGAGGAUGACCAGCCACACUGGGACUGAGACACGGCCCAGACUCCUACGGGAGGGAGCAGUGGGGAAUUUUCCGAAAUGGGCGAAAGCCUGACGGAGCAAUACCGCGUGAGGGAAGAAGGCUCUUGGGUUGAAAACCUCUUUUCUUAGGGAAGAACAAAAUGACGGUACCUAAGGAAUCAGCAUCGGCUAACUCCGUG
rnacentral:rRNA from 1 species